AAAUAAGAAGCAUAAAUGUAUUUAGUUUCGACCUAAAAGAUGGUAUAAAACCCUUAUUUA
rnacentral:tRNA from 1 species